rnacentral:rRNA from 1 species
CNUGCUUYUCAAGAUWAGCCAUGCAKGUCUAAGUAUAAGCAAUCUAUACAGUGAAACUGCGAAUGGCUCAUUAAAUCAGUUAUCGUUUAUUUGAUAGUACCUUACUACUUGGAUAACCGUGGUAAUUCUAGAGCUAAUACAUGCUAAAAAUCCCGACCUCUGGAAGGGAUGUAUUUAUUAGAUAAAAAACCAAUGCCUUCGGGCUCCUUGGUGAUUCAUGAUAACUUUACGAAUCGCAUGGCCUUGCGCCGGCGAUGGUUCAUUCAAAUUUCUGCCCUAUCAACUUUCGAUGGUAGGAUAGUGGCCUACCAUGGUUUCAACGGGUAACGGGGAAUUAGGGUUCUAUUCCGGAGAGGGAGCCUGAGAAACGGCUACCACAUCCAAGGAAGGCAGCAGGCGCGCAAAUUACCCAAUCCCGACGCGGGGAGGUAGUGACAAUAAAUACUGAUACAGGGCCCUUUCGGGUCUUGUAAUUGGAAUGAGUACAAUUUAAAUCCAUUAACGAGGAACAAUUGGAGGGCAAGUCUGGUGCCAGCAGCCGCGGUAAUUCCAGCUCCAAUAGCGUAUAUUAAAGUUGUUGCAGUUAAAAAGCUCGUAGUUGAACCUUGGGUCUGGGUGACCGGUCCGCAUAACUGCGUGCACUGGGAACCCGGGCCUUUCCUUCUGGCCAACCCCAUGCCCUUCACUGGGUGUGCGGGGGAACCAGGACUUUUACUUUGAAAAAAUUAGAGUGUUCAAAGCAGGCAUUUGCUCGAAUACAUUAGCAUGGAAUAAUAGAAUAGGACGUGUGGUUCUAUUUUGUUGGUUUCUAGGACCGCCGUAAUGAUUAAUAGGGAUAGUCGGGGGCAUCCGUAUUCAAUUGUCAGAGGUGAAAUUCUUGGAUUUAUUGAAGACGAACUACUGCGAAAGCAUUYGYCAAGGRUGUUUUCAUUAAUCAGGAACGAAAGUUGRGGGAUCGAAGACGAUCAGAUACCGUCGUAGUCUCAACCAUAAACUAUGCCGACUAGGGAUYGGGCGRUGUUWAAWCUUGACYCGCUCRGCACCUUACGAGAAAUCAAAGUYYUUGGGCUUCURGGGGGAGUACGGUCGCAAGGCUGAAACUUAAAGAAAUUGACGGAAGRGCACCACAAGGGGUGGAACCUGCGGCUUAAUUUGACUCAACACGGGGAAACUCACCAGGUCAGGACACUGUGAGGAUUGACAGAUUGAGAGCUCUUUCUUGAUUCAGUGGAUGGUGGUGCAUGGCCGUUCUUAGUUCGUGGUUAUGAACUGUCAGCUCAAUUGCGAUAACGAACGAGACCGCGACCGCUAAAUAGCCCGGCCCGCCCCGGCGGGUCGCUGGCUUCUUAGCGGGACUAUCGGCUCAAGCCGAUGGAGGUACGCGUCAAUAACAGGUCUGUGAUGCCCUUAGACGUCCUGGGCCGCACGCGCGUUACACUGACUGCCCCAACGUGUUUUCCUUGGCCUAGCGGUCUGGGUAAUCCUGAAAGGCAGUCGUGCUGGGAAUAGGGCAUUGCAAUUAUUGCCCUUGAACGAGGAAUCCCUAGUAAGCGCGAGUCAUCAGCUCGCGUUGACUCUGUCCCUGCUCUUUGUACACACCGCCCGUCGCUACUACCGAUUGGACGGCUUGGUGAGGACUUCGGACCGGACUGGCGUGCGGGAAACUGCGUGCUAGGCUGGAAAGUUGCACGAACCUGGUCGUCUAGAGGAAGAAGGACUCGCUUAACAAAA